rnacentral:rRNA from 1 species
GGSSCGGAGCAAGCGUUGUUCGGGAUCACUGGGCGUAAAGGGAGUCUAGGCGGUUUGGUAAGUGGGAUGUGAAAUCCCCGGGCUCACCCCGGGACCUGCAUCCCAAACUGCUGAGCUUGAGUACAGGAGAGGGUGGGGGAAUUCCAGGUGUAGCGGUGAAAUGCGUAGAUAUCUGGAGGAACACCGGUGGCGAAGGCGCCCACCUGGCCUGCUACUGACGCUGAAGCUCGAAAGCUAGGGGAGCAAACGGGAUUAGAUACCCCGGUAGUCCUAGCCGUAAACGGUGAUCACUAGGUGUUGGGAGCAUCGACCCUUCCWGUGCCGCAGCUAACGCAUUAAKUGAUCCGCSUGGGGAGUACGGCCGCAAGGUUG